rnacentral:rRNA from 1 species
GUGGAGAAGCUACUAAGGGCUUUCGGUGAAUGCCUUGGCGCCAAAUGCCGAUGAAGGACGUGGGACACUGCGAUAAGCCUCGGGGAGCCGUGUACAGGCUUUGAUCCGGGGAUCUCCGAAUGAGGAAACUCGUUGCGGCGAACCCGCAACAUCCCCAACUGAACACAUAGGUUGGUGGAGGGGUACCCAGGGAACUGAAACAUCUAAGUACCUGGAGGAAAAGAAAACAUUCCCCCAGUAGUGGCGAGCGAACGGGGAACAGCCCAAACCGCCCCUGCUUGCAGGGACGGGGUUGUAGGGUCUGGCAUAUGGAAGUUACAAAACAAUCAGUUAGCGGAAAGGUGUGGGAAAGCCUGCCAUAGAGGGUGAUAGCCCCGUAUGCGAAAACUGAUUGUCUUCCGCCAGAUACCUGAGUACUGCCGGGCACGCUAAUCCGGCAGGAAUCUGGGAAGUCCACUUUCCAAGGCUAAAUACAUUUGGCGACCGAUAGUGAACAAGUACCGUGAGGGAAAGGUGAAAAGUCCCCCUGUUAGGGGAGUGAAAUAGAACCUGAAACCGAGAGCCUACAAACAGUUGGAGGGCUAACAGUGGGUUGAGCGCUGCAGAAAUGCAGAUGUUCCCCGCUAUGCCUGACAGCGUGCCUCUUGGAGAAUGAGCCUGCGAGUUAAUCUCAGUGGCAAGGUUAAGGGAGUAACACCCGUAGCCGUAGCGAAAGCGAGUCUGAAUAGGGCGUAUAGUCGCUGGGAUUAGGCCCGAAACCGGGUGAGCUACCCAUGGGCAGGGUGAAGCGAGUCUAAUCACUCGUGGAGGCCCGAACUUACUAACGUUGCAAAGUUAGAAGAUGACCUGUGGGUAGAGGUGAUAUGCCAAACGAACUCGGAGAUAGCUGGUUCUACCCGAAAUAGCUUUAGAGCUAGCGUCAUGCGUUUAGUACUGGAGGUACAGCACUGAAUGGGCUAAGGGGCUUACCGCUUACUGAACCCAAUCAAACUCGGAAUGCCAGUACUCCAUAGCAUGGCAGUCGGACUACGGGAGAUGAGUUUCGUGGUCGAAAGGGAAACAGCCCAGAUCAUCAGCUAAGGUCCUUAAAUCUACGCUAAGUGGGAAACGAGGUGAGGUUACUUGAACAACCAGGAGGUUGGCUUAGAAGCAGCCACCCUUUAAAAAGUGCGUAACAGCUUACUGGUCUAGUGACCUUGCGCGGAAAACUUAACGGGGCUAAGCGUAGUACCGAAGCUAUGAGUCUCAACGCAAGUUGGGGCAGUAGGGGAGCGUUCCAUCAGCGGUGAAGGUCGAUCGAAAGGGCGACUGGAGCGGAUGGAAGUGAGAAUGCAGGCAUGAGUAGCGUAUAAACACGUGAGAACCGUGUUCGCCGUAAAUCUAAGGUUUCCGACGCCAGGUCAUUCCGCGUCGGGUUAGUCGGGUCCUUAGCCGAGGCUGAAAAGCGUAGGUGAUGGACAUCCGGUCAAUAUUCCGGAACCACUCAGAAGGAGUGAUGGGGGGACGCAGCGAGAUAGGCCAGCCACCGAUUGGUUGUGGUGGUGCGAUCUGCUGAGACGUUGAGGCUGGUAGGUAAAUCCGCCGGCUGAGUCGAGGCAAGAGCGAGCCGCAAGGCAUAAGUGGUCGAGUUUUGCUGCCGAGAAAAGCCCCUAAACGUUGAUUUCUGAGUGCCCGUACCGCAAUCCGACACUGGUAGAUGGGUAGAGUAUACCAAGGCGAACGGGAGAACCCUCGUUAAGGAACUAGGCAACAUGACCCCGUAACUUCGGGAGAAGGGGUGCCUUCUAGCGUUCGGGUAACCAAAGCGCUGGAGGGUCGCAGUGAAAUGGCUCUGGCGACUGUUUAACAAAAACACAGGUCUCUGCUAAGCCGUAAGGCGAUGUAUAGGGGCUGACGCGUGCCCAGUGCCGGAAGGUUAAGGGGAGAGGUUAGCGCAAGCGAAGCUUUGAACCGAAGCCCCGGUGAACGGCGGCCGUAACUAUAACGGUCCUAAGGUAGCGAAAUUCCUUGUCGGGUAAGUUCCGACCCGCACGAACCGCGUAACGAUCAGAGCACUGUCUCAACGAGGGACCCGGUGAAGUUGAAAUGGCUGUGAAGAUGCGGCCUACCCGCAGCAGGACAAAAAGACCCCGUGGAGCUUUACUGCAACUUGGCAUUGUGUUUGGGUAUGAUCUGUGUAGAAUAGGUGGGAGGCUUUGAAGCUGGGGCGUCAGCCUCGGUGGAGCCGCCAGUGAAAUACCACCCUGAUUAUGCUUAGACCCUAACCCCGCGCCGUCAUCCGGGCGGGGGACCGUGCCAGGUGGGCAGUUUGACUGGGGCGGUCGCCUCCUAAAUCGUAACGGAGGCUUACAAAGGUUACCUCAGCACGGUUGGUAAUCGUGCUUAGAGCGCAAGGGCAUAAGGUAGCUUAACUGCGAGACAUACAGGUCGAGCAGAGGGUGAAUGGAAACCACCCAUAGAGUGCAAAGGCAUAAGGGAGCUUGACUGCAAGACCAACGCGUCGAGCAGAGUCGAAAGACGGGCUUAGUGAUCCCACGGUACUGAGUGGAAGGGCCGUGGCUUACCGGAUAAAAGCUACCCCGGGGAUAACAGGCUGGUGAGGUCCAAGAGUUCACAUCGACGACCUCGCUCGGCACCUCGAUGUCGGCUCAUCGCAUCCUGGGGCUGGAUAAGGUCCCAAGGGUCGGGCUGUUCGCCCGUUAAAGCGGUACGCGAGCUGGGUUCAGACCGUCGUGAGACAGGUCGGUCUCUAUCCGCUGUGGGCGUAAGGGAUUUGAGAGGAGCUGCUCCUAGUACGAGAGGACCGGAGUGGACCGACCUCUGGUGUGCCAGUUGUCGCGCCAGCGGCAUUGCUGGGUAGCUACGUCGGGCAGAGAUAACCGCUGAAAGCAUCUAAGUGGGAAACUCGCCUCAAGAUUAGAUCCCUGUAUUCCAGUUAAUGGAGUAAGACCGCAGGUAGACCACCUGCUAUAUAGGCAACAAGUGUAAGCGCGUAUAUCUAAAGGCGUUUAGCUAAGUUGUACUAAUGGUCGAGGGCUGAAUCCUC